GCGGCUGUAGUCUAGCCUGGUUAGGACUCGAGCCUUCCAAGCUCGUAACCCGGGUUCAAAUCCCGGCGGCCGCAC
rnacentral:tRNA from 1 species